rnacentral:rRNA from 1 species
CCGGUUGAUCCUGCCAGAGGUCACUGCUAUCGGGGUUCGAUUAAGCCAUGCGAGUCGAGAGGGUUCGGCCCUCGGCGUACUGCUCAGUAACACGUGGAUAACCUGCCCUAGGGGAGGGGAUAACCCCGGGAAACUGGGGAUAAUACCCUAUAGGUUACAGAUGCUGGAAUGCCCUGUAACCAAAAGCUCCGGCGCCCUAGGAUGGAUCUGCGGCCGAUUAGGUUGUUGUUGGGGUAACGGCCCAACAAGCCCGUAAUCGGUACGGGUUGUGGGAGCAAGAGCCCGGAGUUGGAUUCUGAGACACGAAUCCAGGCCCUACGGGGCGCAGCAGGCGCGAAACCUUUACAAUGCGGGCAACCGUGAUAAGGGAACCUCGAGUGCCUGUAAACGCAGGCUGUUCAGGUGUUUAAAACGCACCUGGAGAAAGGGCCGGGCAAGACCGGUGCCAGCCGCCGCGGUAAUACCGGCGGCUCGAGUGGUGGCCGCUUUUAUUGGGCUUAAAGCGUUCGUAGCUGGGUUGUUAAGUCUCUUGGGAAAUCUGGCGGCUUAACCGUCAGGCGUCUAAGGGAUACUGGCAAUCUUGGAACCGGGAGAGGUGAGGGGUACUUCGGGGGUAGGGGUGAAAUCCUGUAAUCCUCGAGGGACCACCUGUGGCGAAGGCGCCUCACCAGAACGGCUUCGACAGUGAGGGACGAAAGCUGGGGGAGCAAACCGGAUUAGAUACCCGGGUAGUCCCAGCCGUAAACGAUGCGCGUUAGGUGUAUCGGUGACCACGAGUUACCGAGGUGCCGAAGGGAAACCGUGAAACGCGCCGCCUGGGAAGUACGGUCGCAAGGCUGAAA